GGCAGAAGUCACCACGCAGGGUCUCCGUGUCUUCCUUUUGGAAUGGAGGGGAAGUCUCUCCUAGUCUUGAAUUAAGGAUGUCCUGUUCCCUGAGAAGUGGAUGAGGCCACUGGCUAGAGAAUGGAGUGCCUGAGGGUCUCAGUUUCAUCAUCCAUAAAAUGAAGGGAUAGACUCUCUAAGGGCCUUUCCCGCCUUAUGGCCUCGGAUUCGAUGAUUCACACUCAUAAAAAUGUCACUGGGCUGCCUGCCAACACAUUAGCACCGAUAUUAGUGCUGAAUGAGAAGGUGCAAAACAUCAAGUGCUGUAGAGAUAAGACAGAGCAGUGUGAUCCAGGAUGAUCAGAGAAGACUUCCUGGAAGAGCUCCAGAGAUCAAAAGUCCAAAAGAAGUCUCACUGGGCUAAAUUCAAGGUGUUGAUGGAGCCGGUUCCUCCUGUAUGCUCUGGGGGAGAAUCUCUUUCCUUGUCUUUUCCAACUUCUAAAGGCCGUCCUCAUUCCUUGGUUCAUGGGCCUGCCUCCCCUCACCGUUUUCUUUGACUUUGACCCCAAUGUCUCCCUCUUAUGUGGGUCCUUGUGAUUACACUGGGCCCACUCAGAUAAUCCAGGAUAAUCUCCUGAUUGCACGACUGUUAACAUAAUCACAUCUGCAAAGGCCCUUUUACCAUGUUCAUGGGUUCUGGGGAUUAGGGUGAGGACUCAUCUGAGGGGCCCCUUUUCCAGCUUAUCACACCCUAGUGGUUAUCCCUGUGGUCUCUGGAGUCAGAGUGCCUCAGCUCAAGCUUUGGCUUUGUCACUCAUUAGUGGCUUAAUCCUAUGUGAUUUAUUUAACCCCUCUCUGCCUCAUUUUUCCCAUUUGUAAAAUAAGGAAACAGUAGUAUACACCUUAUUUGUUUCAGCUAUCUACUGCCAUAUGACAAACCAUGCCAGAUCUUAGUGGCUGUAAACAGAAAUGAUUAAAAAAAAAUUUUUUUUUUCA